rnacentral:rRNA from 1 species
GACGAACGCUGGCGGCGCGCCUAACACAUGCAAGUCGAACGGAGUCAAGAGGAGCUUGCUUUUCUUGACUUAGUGGCGAACGGGUGAGUAACGCGUGAGUAACCUGCCCUGGAGUGGGGGACAACAGUUGGAAACGACUGCUAAUACCGCAUAAGCCCACGAUCCGGCAUCGGAUUGAGGGAAAAGGAUUUAUUCGCUUCAGGAUGGACUCGCGUCCAAUUAGCUAGUUGGUGAGGUAACGGCCCACCAAGGCGACGAUUGGUAGCCGGACUGAGAGGUUGAACGGCCACAUUGGGACUGAGACACGGCCCAGACUCCUACGGGAGGCAGCAGUGGGGGAUAUUGCACAAUGGGGGAAACCCUGAUGCAGCGACGCCGCGUGGAGGAAGAAGGUUUUCGGAUUGUAAACUCCUGUCGUUAGGGACGAUAAUGACGGUACCUAACAAGAAAGCACCG